UACGGAGGGUGCGAGCGUUGUCCGGAAUCACUGGGCGUAAAGGGCGCGUAGGCGGCCGUGUAAGUCACUUGUGAAAUCCCGGGGCUCAACUCCGGGGCCGCAGGUGAGACUGCGUGGCUAGAGCACGGUAGAGGCGAGUGGAAUUCCCGGUGUAGCGGUGGAAUGCGUAGAUAUCGGGAAGAACACCGGUGGCGAAGGCGGCUCGCUGGGCCGUUGCUGACGCUGAGGCGCGAAAGCGUGGGGAGCAAACAGGG
rnacentral:rRNA from 1 species